UACGUAGGGGGCAAGCGUUGUCCGGAAUCAUUGGGCGUAAAGAGCGCGUAGGCGGCCCUGUAAGUCCGCUGUGAAAGUCAAGGGCUCAACCCUUGGAUGCCGGUGGAUACUGCAGGGCUAGAGUCCGGAAGAGGCGAGUGGAAUUCCUGGUGUAGCGGUGAAAUGCGCAGAUAUCAGGAAGAACACCUAUGGCGAAGGCAGCACUCUGGGACGGUACUGACGCUGAGACGCGAAAGCGUGGGGAGCGAACAGG
rnacentral:rRNA from 1 species